UAACUCUCAAAAUCAUGUUCCUCUUUUCCUUUAACCUCAAAUCCCAAAAUCCUAUCUCAUAGAUCUCAUCAAUUUAAUUCAAUUCCAUCGAGAUGGACACCACUAUUACUCAACUCAGUCCCUCCUGCAAUACUGCCGUCGAACCGCCGCGACGUAGUGUUCACCAGCGGCUGGUCCAGUCGACGUUCUUUCCUCACAAGCCACCAGAGCCCAUCGAAAAGAAUGAGAUAGAGGACGAACGCGAUGAGGAUUACUCCAACACUGAGAAUCACAAGAAGAGGAAGAGGCCCAAGGCUAAAACAGCUCCUGGAUAAAAAGCUUCCAAGAAUGUCACGCUAAAGUAAAAUGCAUCGGCAAAUGGGACUAACAAGGGUUCAACUUCGCGGCAGGUGUUGGCUGAUUCUAAUCCGGUUAAUGCACAGUUACUGCAAAGUGCGAACGGAUUUGGUCUUCUUCUUUACGCUCAAUCAUUUCUCUGCAGAAGUUGAGAAACUUUCUUCGGAGGAGCAGGGAUUAGAUGAUCAAAUAAGUUCAUUUUUGCAAGCUGAAUGAAACUCUAAUAGCAAUUAAAGCUCUGCAUGGAACCACCCUGGAAGUCCCAAAUCCUGAGGAAGCUGUAGACCAUCGAGAGAGAAGAUAUAAAAUCAUUCUUAGAAGCACAAUGGGUCCAUUGAUGUCUACCUUAUGAGUCAAUUUGAAGAGGUUAGUGGUGCUGAUCUCCCCAUGAUCCCACUCGCUUCCAGUUUUGGUUCCAUUGAGCAACUAAUGACGGAAAUGGUUCCUACUAAAUGCAGUGGAAAAGAACUUGAACCUCAAACUCAACUUUCUUCUCAGGCAUUCUCUGAUCUAUAAAUACUUCAUAGAUGGGUUGUGGACCUGUGGUCUAGUUGUGGGGAUGAGAUGAUGUGAACUUGACUAGGAGCGGAUCACUUGAUACAGACUACGAAUAUUUGGAUGAUGCCACUUCCAGUGAAGGAAGAUAAGUCAGGGUAGACGCCACUUCCAAUGAAUGAAGAUAAGUCAGGGUAGACGC